AGUGAACGCUGGCGGUAGGCCUAACACAUGCCAGUCGAACAGCAGCACAGUAAGAGCUUGCUCUUACGGGUGGCGAGUGGCGGACGGGUGAGGAAUACAUCGGAAUCUACUUUUUCGUGGGGGAUAACGUAGGGAAACUUACGCUAAUACCGCAUACGACCUACGGGUGAAAGCAGGGGAUCUUCGGACCUUGCGCGAUUGAAUGAGCCGAUGUCGGAUUAGCUAGUUGGCGGGGUAAAGGCCCACCAAGGCGACGAUCCGUAGCUGGUCUGAGAGGAUGAUCAGCCACACUGGAACUGAGACACGGUCCAGACUCCACGGGAGGCAGCAGUGGGGAAUAUUGGACAAUGGGCGCAAGCCUGAUCCAGCCAUACCGCGUGGGUGAAGAAGGCCUUCGGGUUGUAAAGCCCUUUUGUUGGGAAAGAAAAGCAGCAGGUUAAUACCCCGCUGUUCUGACGGUACCCAAAGAAUAAGCACCGGCUAACUUCGUG
rnacentral:rRNA from 1 species